GCUUGUCUCAAAGAUUAAGCCAUGCAUGUCUCAGUAUAAGCUUUUACACGGCGAAACUGCGAAUGGCUCAUUAAAACAGUUAUCGUUUCUUUGGUGGUUAUUGAUUACAUGGAUAACCGUGGUAAUUCUAGAGCUAAUACAUGCGCCCAGACCCAACUUUUAGGAAGGGUUGUAUUUAUUAGAUUAAAAACCAAUGCCCUCUGGGCUCUCUGGUGAUUCAUGAUAACUUCUCGAAUCGCAUGGCCUUGCGCCGGCGAUGGUUCAUUCAAAUUUCUUCCCUAUCAACUUUCGAUGUUUGGGUAGUGGCCAAACAUGGUUGCAACGGGUAACGGAGGGUUAGGGCUCGACCCCGGAGAAGGAGCCUGAGAAACGGCUACUACAUCCAAGGAAGGCAGCAGG
rnacentral:rRNA from 1 species